rnacentral:rRNA from 1 species
UACGUAGGGUGCGAGCGUUAAUCGGAAUUACUGGGCGUAAAGCGUGCGCAGGCGGUUCGUUGUGUCUGAUGUGAAAGCCCCGGGCUCAACCUGGGAACGGCAUUGGAAACUGGCGAGCUAGAGUGUGGCAGAGGGGGGGUGGAAUUCCGCGUGUAGCAGUGAAAUGCGUAGAUAUGUGGAGGAACACCGAUGGCGAAGGCAGCCCCCCUGGGUCAAGACUGACGCUCAUGCACGAAAGCGUGGGGAGCAAACAGG